rnacentral:rRNA from 1 species
GAUCAUGGCUCAGGAUGAACGCUAGCGACAGGCUUAACACAUGCAAGUCGAGGGGCAGCGGGGAGUAGCAAUACUCUGCCGGCGACCGGCGCACGGGUGAGUAACGCGUAUGCAACUUGCCUAUCAGAGGAGAAUAGCUCAUCGAAAGAUGAAUUAAUGCUCCAUGAAACAGGGGUUCCGCAUGGGAAUAUUUGUUAAAGAUUCAUCGCUGAUAGAUAGG